rnacentral:rRNA from 1 species
CUGCCCAAUGAGGAAUUAAAUGGCCGCGGUACUUUGACCGUGCAAAGGUAGCAUAAUCAUUAGUUUUUUAAUUGAAAGCUGGUAUGAAAGGUCGGAUGAGAGAAUAACUGUCUCUAUUUAAAUUAUUUAGAAUUUUAUUUUUAAGUAAGAAAGCUUAAAUUUUAAUAGAAGACGAGAAGACCCUAUAGAGUUUUAUAAAUUUUAAUUUGAAGAGAUUUUAGAAUUAAUAAAUUUUUAUAUUAAGAUUUAUUUGGUUGGGGCGACUGAAAAAUUUAAUAAACUUUUUUUAAUUAUUUAAACAUUAAUUUAUGAUUAGAUGAUCCUUAUUUAAAGAUUAAAAGAAAAAAUUACCUUAGGGAUAACAGCGUAAUUUUUUUAAAGAGUUCAAAUCGAAAAAAAAGAUUGCGACCUCGAUGUUGGAUUAAAAUAAAAUUUUGGUGUAGGAGCUAAAGUAUUUGGGUCUGUUCGACCCUUAAAAUUUUACAUGAUCUGAGUUUAAACCGGUGU